rnacentral:rRNA from 1 species
GACGAACGCUGGCGGCGUGCUUAACACAUGCAAGUCGAACGGAAAGGCCAUGCUUUUGUGGGGUGCUCGAGUGGCGAACGGGUGAGUAACACGUGAGUAACAUGCACUUGACUUUGGGAUAACAUCAGGAAAAUGGGGCUAAUACAGGAUAGGAGCUCCUGAAGCAUGGUGGGGGUUGGUAAGUUUCGGCGGUUGGGGAUGGACUCGCGGCUUCUCAGCUUGUUGGUCAGGUAGUGGCUUACCAAGGCUUUGAAGGGUAGCCGGCCUGAGAGGGUGACCGGCCACAUUGGGACUGAGAGACGGCCCAGACUCCAACGGGAGGCAGCAGUGGGGAAUAUUGCACAAUGGGCCGAAGCCUGAGGCAGCAGCGUCGCGUUCGUAAUGACGUCCUUCUGGUUGUAAACCGCUUUCUCCUUUGACGAAGCGUGAUUGACGGUAAUGAGUAAAGAAGCACCGGUUAACUACGUG